rnacentral:rRNA from 1 species
GGUUUAAUUCGAUGAUACGCGAGGAACCUUACCCGGGCUUGAAUUGCAGAGGAAGGAUUUGGAGACAAUGACGCCCUUCGGGGCCUCGUGUGAAGGUGCUGCAUGGUUGUCGUCAGCUCGUGCCGUGAGGUGUCGGCUUAAGUGCCAUAACGAGCGCAACCCCUCUCCUUAGUUGCCAUCAGGUAAACGCUGGGCACUCUGGGGACACUGCCACCGUAAGGUGUGA